GAGUUUGAUCCUGGCUCAGAAUGAACGCUUGUAACAUGCUUUACACAUGCAAGUCGAAUGGUAUUAUAUUUGUAAUGCCAUGGCGAACGGGUGAGUAAUACUUGGGAAUUUACCUUAUAGUUGGGGAUAACUAAGAUUUUUCUUAGGAAUACCGAAUAUUUUAAAGAAACCUUAGGGUUUUGCUAUAAGAUAAGCCUUAGUAAGAUUAGGUAGUUGGUAGGGUAAGAGCCUACCAAGCCAAAGAUCUUUAGCUGAUCUGAGAGGAUGAUCGGCCACACUGGGACUGAGACACGGCCCAGACUCCCUUGGGAGGCAGCAGUGAGGAAUAUUGGACAAUGGGCGAAAGCCUGAUCCAGCAAUGUUACGUGGGUGACGAAAACCAUUUUGGUUGUAAAACCCUUUCAGUGGAGAUGAUAAUGACAGUAUCCACAGAAGAAGUCCCGGCUAACUCCGUGCCAGCAGCCGCGGUAAUACGGGGGGGGCGAGCGUUAUUCGGAAUGACUGGGCGUAAAGAGUUCGUAGGCGGUUUCUUAAGUUGAUUUUAAAAAUUUAGAGCAUAACUCUAAAAAUGGAUCAAAACUGAGAAACUUGAGUUUGGUAGAGGAUAGUGGAAUUCCUAGUGGAAGGAUAAAAUCUCUAGAGAUUAGGAGGAACAUCAGAGGCGAAGGCGACUAUCUGGACCAAAACUGACGCUAAAGAACGAAAGUAUGGGUAUCAAAUGGGAUUAGAGACCCCAGUAGUCCAUACCGUAAACGAUGAGUGUUAAACGUUCGGAAAUCCUUAGAAACCUAUGUUUAUGGGUUUUUAUAUAAUAUAGAUGUUUAUAAGUUGAAGGCGAACCACAAUCCAAAAUCUUUUUGGAUUUAGUGUAGUAAAUUUUUGUUUUGGUUAAUUUAAAUUUACCCCGUACCAAUCAACUAAAAACAUAAUGUAUACAAAAAAACAAUUAUAAAUUGUAAUUAUUAACUAUUUAAAAUUAUUGUCUUUGACAAUUCUGGAAAUCUGAGUGUUACAGCUAACGCGUUAAACACUCCGCCUGAGGAGUACAGUCGCAAGACCGAAACUCAAAGGAAUUGACGGGGGCUCACACAAGCGGUGGGGUAUGUGGUUUAAUUCGAUAAUACGCGCAAAACCUUACCAGUUCUUGACAUCUAUCCUUUAUUAAAACCGAGAGGAUUUAAUAUUAAAAAAUAGACAGGUGUUGCAUGGCUGUCGUCAGCUCGUGUCGUGAGAUGUUUGGUUAAGUCCUUUAACGAGCGUAACCCCUUAGAUUAAUUGAAUAUAAGUAUCUAAUUGCUUGAUAUUUACUGAGAUUGAUUUUUUACUGCCGAUGACAAAUCGGAGGAAGGUGGGGAUGACGUCAAGUCUUCAUGGCCCUUAUGAACUGGGCUACACACAUGCUACAAUGGUGGUGACAAUAAGAUGCAAAGGUGCGAACCUGAGCAAACUAUAAAAACCAUCUUAGUUCGGAUUGUAGGCUGCAACUCGCCUACAUGAAGUUGGAAUCGCUAGUAAUCGUAGAUCAGCACGCUACGGUGAAUAUGUACCUGAGCCUUGUACACACCGCCCGUCACAUUCUGGGAGUUGAUUUUAUUUAAAGCUAAUGUCCUAACCUUUACAGGAGGGAGUUUGUAAGAAUGAAAACAAUGACUGGAAUGAAGUCGUAACAAGGUAGCCGUAGGGGAACCUGUGGCUGGA
rnacentral:rRNA from 1 species